CGAGAACUAAUUAUUGUUUGUAAUUGAUUACAGAGAAAGCUCCUUACAUCUAGAAAGCAUAGAAGGGGAAGGCUAAUUAUGAAAAGAGCAUCAACACCUACAACAAGAAAUUGCUAUAGGAUCUUUGAACGAAUUGAGGAAGCUGGAAUUGUUAUUUAAGGAUGAGAGCAGGCAUGGUAUUUCAGUUAAUGAUCUUUACAAACUUGUUCAACAUGGUGACAAUAAUGUGUUACAAAGGCUGUAAGUUUUAGUCUGCAAUCUCAAUUUCAUAGUUGAUCUGAGUUGGUGAGCUUAGUUUUGAUGAAUGGUUUGAGGAGUUGUCUGAUAGGUGAACCUUGUCAACUUCUGCUAAUUGUUUGAUCCAAUUGUAGAUGCUCGAAGCUUCUACCGUAGUCGUCGGCUACGGACGACUACGGUAAAGAUUAAAUCUCAACCGUUUAUUUUUUAA